ACCCUAAGCUUGCAGGUGCCUAUAUCCAGCCAUGAGUGCACAGAUCUCUGUGUUGACACGCACAUGAAGCAAGGUCAUGCGAAGUGAGGAUUCUCCAAUUGUCAGCAAUUUCACACUCAAAUGAUGGACCAAUACAGGCAGGCGAGAUACAGUUCAUGGGCUGGAUCCAACCUGCCAACUCUUUCGAUCCGACCCACGGCCUGCCACGCUGGCACCCUCAGACAUGGAGCAGCCCUACACUGCACAAUGUGGCUGGCUGUUCCAGGUGCCUUCGCGCCCCAUGCAGGAGGAGGGAAGAGGCUUCGCAUGCUGCCCCUGUCCCCGGCACAAUCUCAUAGCUCGUACUGGCAUGGCGCAGAGAGGCACAUGACCCCAGCAGCCAGCUGGUUUGAGUGAUCUGGGGCUGUGGAAGGUAAGGAACCUACCUGAGGGUCCCGCUGGGCUGCUGGUCAGGAGCCACUUAGAGGCAGGCUCUGCCUGGGAGGAGCUUACCUAAUACCCCAGCUUCUCCUGCACUCCAACUACCUUCCCCAGGUUGCCACCAUCCUGCCCCACAUCAUCAUCCAAACCCUCUGCAUUCCCCCUCACACCAGGUCACAGCUUUCUCCCAGACCCUACACCCACGCCCUACCACCAUACUCCUCCACCAGGCCAUAAUCCUCUCCUGCACUGAUACCCUUUCCCGGACUCUGCACCCCAAUCCCCUGCCCCAGGUCA